CGAGGCCUGUGAUGAUCUAAUUAUUUGCCUACAUUGUCUGAUUCCUUUAACUGAAGACUCUUUUUGUAAUAAGUCUGAGGCCUCG